rnacentral:lncRNA from 1 species
AAAGCACAAUAUAUCCAGAACCUGAUCAAUCUUUUCACUACCUCCAUUGCCACCAGGCUGGUCCAAGCCACCACCAUUUCUUACCUGGUCUGCCUCAAGAGCUUCCCAAUGUGUCCUUCUUGCCAUAUUUGAAUACACAUACAGUAAAGAUUAAAAAACAACCCUUGAAAAAGUAUAUUUUCUUCCUAUGCUUCAAAUAUUCCUAUUUUCUUUCAUUUCUGUACAGUUGUAAAGAGAAAAGCCUUUUUUUCUAUUCAGUAUAAAAAUGUUUAGUUUUAUUCAAGACUCAUUUUUUGAUUAAUUUGGAAUGAAAGUCCCUGUGUGGAUUCCUUUAUGGAAAUAAUGAUGAAUUGUAUCUCAGUUCUCCCUUUUCUCAGGUGGAAAGACAAAGAUUUAGAAUCAGAGCUGAGAAACUAUAUUUCAUUUAGUCAUGUAACUCUAUUGGGGUAGUAAACAUUUUUAAUUUCUUUUUGUUGAUAAUAAGUCUCCUUGUCAGUUAAUGUUUUUCAGAUAAAAACUGAAAAACAAUCCUUUGUUAAUAUCUU